AUGUAGCCUCUGAUUCCAAGAGUCUGAACCACCCCCCCAAAUUGCUCCUGGGGAUAACAUCACUAUUGUAAAACCUAAUUUCAGUGCUUGAGAUAUUUUGCAGACCCUGCACUGGAUGGAUCAGCUGACACUACCCAGACGGGUAAUCUGGCUCAACCAGUUCUGCCAUCCCACCCAGGAACAGAAGACAGCAAGAAAACUUUACUUCAACCCCUUAUGAUUCCAUCUCCAACCUGACGAAUCAGCACUUCCCACUUCCCAAGCCCCUACCUGCCAAAUUAUCUUUAAAAACUUCAAUCCUUGAAUGCUCGG
rnacentral:lncRNA from 1 species